rnacentral:rRNA from 1 species
CAGCAGCCGCUGUAAUACGAGGGGGGCAAGCGUUGUUUGGAAUUAUUGGGCGUAAAGGGUGCGUAGGCGGUUUGGCAAGUUUGGUGUGAAAUCUUCGGGCUCAACUCGAAGUCUGCAUCGAAAACUGCCGGGCUUGAGUAUGGGAGAGGUGAGUGGAAUUUCCGGUGUAGCGGUGAAAUGCGUAGAUAUCGGAAGGAACACCUGUGGCGAAAGCGGCUCACUGGACCAUAACUGACGCUGAUGCACGAAAGCUAGGGGAGCAAACAGGAUUAGAUACCCCAGUAGUCCCUGUCUCUUAUAC